AUGACAAGCACUUUGAAAAGAGGGUGAAAAGGACCUGAAACUGUUACGAGGGAAGCGGAUCGCGUUGGAGAAUAAAUGCAUGCUCAGCCCGUAAGGGUGUAUUCGUGUGUUUGUAGAACAUUCGUGGCUUUUCGACAACUGAAUUUGAGUUGUUGGAGGGUGAGGGAUCUCCUUUAUGGAUAUGAGGACGAAUGAUCGUCAACGCGAUACGACCCGUCUUGAAACACGGACCAAGGAGUCUAGCACAGGUGCGAGUCGAAGGGUGUGAAAACCUGAGGGCGCAGUGAAAGCGAUCUGAUAUAUUUAUUUAUAUCCCAAAACGAUCAGUUUGAGGCGGCAUAAAAUCGUUGAUUUUAGGUCCGACCUGGAGCAGUUGUGCUGGGACCCGAAAGAUGGUGAACUAUACCGGAGUAGGGCAAAGCCAGAAGAAAUUCUGGUGGAGGCUCGUAGCGGUGCUGACGUGCAAAUCGCUCGUCGAACUUGGGUAUAGGGGCGAAAGACUCAUCGAACCAUCUAGUAGCUGGUUCCCUCCGAAGUUCUC
rnacentral:rRNA from 1 species